UAACCAGGCAAACAAGAGCUGAGCCGAGGCUGCGAAAGAGAUGGAGAGAUGGGGCCCUGAAACCUUCCCGGAGCUGAGGCCACCGCACAACCACAGUUACUAUUUAUCAGACACGCCUCGGAGAAUUCCGACGGGCCCCCAAGCAGUUUCGCCGGGGCGUCAGCCCAGCAAACACCGAGACUCGACAUUGCGGUCAUCCCCCCGCCCCCCCCCGUAGUUUUGCUUUCCGUAGUUUUCAGUUGCUGAGGUCAUCACGCAGUCCUGACGCAGGUGAUCUUCUGACGUGAGGUCAGAGGUCAGCUGGAGCCUACGGUGCGUUAGCACGGCCGCCUACUCCCCUCACCCAGGCGUUUUAUUACCUCCCACGGUCCCAAGAAGUAAGUUCACUGGACUAUGUCUUCGAAUGUCAGCUCCUGUAUAUGGCCUUCUCUGAUUCCCCAAGUGUUUUUCAAGACAAAGGACAGGACGGAAUAAAUAGAGCCACAGACAACCUUCUGAUAACUUUUUGUAAACCAAGACAGAGAUGGAAAUGGCUGUAGUCCAAGCUCAUCACACAGGAGAUCACACAGAUGGGGAGAUAAAAAUUGUCCAUGUGAGCCCCUUGACAAUGCGCAGUAUUUUAUUCAGGAUCCCAAGAAGCCACCUGCAUGCUGAUGACAUCACAAAAAUAAAGGCCAAGGGCUGAUUACUGGUCUUAAGAGAUCUCUUCAGAAGAAUAGAAUGGACUAACAAAAGAUAUAAAAUAUCUAUGAACACAGAAGAAACCCAGAAAGCCUACAACUAUGGUGAAUUAGAAACUACUUCAAGGAAGUGUGAACUCUGAGAAGAUGGGAAUUAUUAUACUUCAUUUGUUUCCCUAAUAAGCUUAAAUCAUCCUAAAACUUUAUCCAUUUUAUCCUCAUAGAUUCCUCAAGAAGGUCUGGGAAAAGGCAUUAUUAUCUCUAUUUGAAAUGAAAAGCAUUACAAUCCAUGAAGAAUAUUUCUACACUAGAGAUAAAAAUAAAACAAGGAGUUAAAAUGUAAAAACUCAAUGGAAAAGCUACUUGAAAGAGGAAUUUAUGGCAAAAGUUAUCGGUUGGAAAAUAAAAUCUACCACAGAAGUAUAAACAUUAUUCAUGCAAAUUAUAACAACAUUCAUAAAAUUUACGUGCAAGGACCUUCUAUGUGUCCAGCACUGAGGAUAUGAUUCUGAAGAUGUUUCUUGCCCUAAGAUUUCUAUCCAGUUAGGUGUAUUGGGACAGGUAUAUUGGCUGGUGAGGACGGAUUUUAUGUAACUAAAUUGUCAAUGUGUUAAAUUCCAACAAGUGAUAUUAUGCAGACAAAAAAGUUGUUAUGGUAGCAAAGGAGAAGUAUCUAACUCAGACUGGUGAUGAUAAUUCAGAUAAGUGAUGUCUUCCUGUGAAAAAUGACAUCCAUACUAACACUACAAAGGUGCAUAAGUAUUAGUCUAGUCAAGUAGAUGAAAGUGAGAUAUAGUAGAAAUGACUCUAAUGUUUAUGGAGACACAAAGAAAAUAAUGGGGACCAAAAUAAAGCAAUAUUGGAAUGUUAAUGGGUAUCUUAGUUUGGAUUUCCCAAAAAUCAUAUCCGAAGAAAAGACAAAAUUAGUCCUCUGUGUUGGCAGCAUUCUUAACAGUUUCUUCCAACAAGAUGGCCAACAGGAGAUUUGCAUAUCAGAUUUGCAUUCUCCCAGUGUAGCCCAAUAGAAAAAUAGCACCUUUUACUCGGUGGUUCCACUGGAACAGGAAAAAGUUCCAGGGCUAACUCUAACAGGAACAAUUUGGCCCACUGAACCAAAUAUUUUAGGUGUUUGUCGCUGUAGACAAAUACCUAAAAUAUUCUGGUCAGGAAUAAUUCUUUAAAAGAUAUCACAGCAAUACUACGGGAAAAAAGAAUGGAUGCUAGGCAGACAAAAUCCACAGAUGUCUACUAAAAUUUGGGAUGAUACUUCUUUAAUAUUUACUUUAUACUUGGAGAUGUGAUGUAUUAUAAAGAUUUAGCAACAAAGAACUAUUUUUAAAAAUAGAAUUGAUCCUAUGACUCUCUUCUAUCAGAGUAGUAUCAUGGACUUAAAGGAUGAUUGCAAAGAGUAAAAAACUUAAAUCAUCCACACUUUGGUUUUCAGUACACCAUAAAAAUUUACACAUAAAGAGAAUAGUGAUUCUUAACUCAUAAUGGUACACAGAAGGCUUUUUAACAGAAUUUUUAGUAUCUGAUGAAUUCAAUAGACUUGCUCCUUAGAACAUUUUUUUUUUUUGUACAUUACAAACUUCUUUUGAGAGAUUGACCGUCUACACGAAGCCCAAGUUAAAUCCCCGAUGUGGAUUGACUGAAUGUUUUCAAAGCCCUUGGCUUCUUUGCAAGUAAACAGAUAGUCCUUUUCAUAGUUAUAACACAGGAAUGCCAUUUAGAUGAAUUUGUUGAUUUUUAUUUUUAAACUGCUCAAAUUAUAAAGAUAUACAAAUCCGAAACACUAUUUUCAUACUGCAUUCUUGUUCAAUUCAGUGUCACAAUCUUAAAUCGAGGCAGAUAAACUGUAUUCAAUUUCUGGUGAGGAUACAAGGGCAAAAAAUUAAGUCUUUCUGAAGCUUUUGAAUAUUGUUUACUCCCAUAAUAAAGAAGGCAGCUUGCUGCCUAAUAAGAUGUGGCCUGGGAGGUUGCUUUAUCAAUUUGUCGAUCCCUUAGAGGAAAAAACACAUUUUAAAAACAAAUCCAAGAGUAAGACAUACAUGAAUGCAAUCCAUUUACAGUGAGAGCAUAUUUCUGUACUGUGCCAAAUAAAGUAAGAAUUUUUGUAUAGAAAUUUAUUCUUCUACCUUGCCAUCCUUAAAUAAUAUGAGGUUCAGGAAUUAUAUAUGUCUGUAGGAAGCACUUUAUGGUUUUUUAGCCUUCUCUAUAAACCGUGUUAUUUCUAAAACAACCAUAAAUUUGUGAAAAUGGUAACACGCUAAAUUUGUAGGUUUGUCGUAAAAUACAGUAAAGUACAGGAUACGAACAAUUAUUUUUUAAGAUAAGUAUGUAUCAAAUAUUGCAUGGGACAGACUGAUGCUAAAAAAAAAAAGUUGCCUAUUUGAAGUACAAAUUUAACUGGGCAUCCUAUUUUAAUUUUUGAAAUCUGGCAACCCUAUCAACUUGCAAACAAUAUUGUUUUUAUUUACUCAUAAAUAAAUCUUUGAUUUUGUAUAUUAAAGUAGUUUUGGUAAUGGCAUCUCAUUUAAUCGUCAGAUAUAUGUUUUUGGCUAAAGGGACUAUCAAGAGUAUAUACAAUUAUAUUUUCAUUGAAGUUGUCAUAGAAUACUUCCAGCUUUUUUUCCAUGAGCAGUGUACCCUCACAUCCCUUUUCACUUCCGAAGAACUUUAUGAAGAAAGCCAGACUGAGGUAAGUGUUUCUUAUUUCAGAUCAAUUCUUUUAGUAUUUAGGGAAAUGUUAUUAAAAGUUGCAUAUUUUCUGCGUUUAAAGUAACUUACAUAUGUGAUUCUUAAAUGAUUUGUCUUUGAAAGCAGAAACUUUUCAAAAUGAACCAUUAUGUAGAGAUGAAAUCAGCGAGUCUAGAAAAUGAAUAAUUCAUUUUUAAGUAAAUGAGAAAUUAUUUUGUGCUGUUACUUAUACAUUUUCACAUUUAUAGUUAAACAGUAAUUUGCGAUACAUGGGGUAUUAGUUGUGAAUUGUGGUUUUCAAUAUCACAGACACAUUUGUUGCUGUGGUUUUGCAAUAUCAUUCCCUGAUGCUUUUCUCAAUUGUGGUUUUCAUAAUCAUUGUUUGAUAGUCAUGUUGCUGUGGUUUGGGGCUGCUAUAUCCAUUUGGACAGAGAUAAUUGCUUAUAGGUUUUGCUGUCUUUUAAUUUUACAACCUUAGUGAGUUAAACUAGAAAAAGAAAAAUUGAACUUUAAAUAUCAUCAACAUUCUCAUUAAAAAUGAUGAGACUACACAAACUGUAAUAGUAUUCCUAGUUUAAUCCAUUCAUAAUGACUAUAAUUAAUAUAUAUAUUUAUAAAUUUAUAUAAACUAUAUCUAUUUCUGAUAAUGCAGUCUGGUUAUUUUAUCAAUCUUGCUUGAAUUCCCUGACUUUUGCUCCUUUCAGCUUUUAAACUGAAUAUUUAGCUGAGAUUUAUUUGUUUCUCUUUUGCUUUGCAUAUUUAACCAUUUCAAAUGCCAAAAGAAACACUAACUGUUAUGAUAUUUUAAUUCCAAUGGGCAUUCCUUUUGGCUGAUAUAAAAAGUCAGCCAGUUCUGUAAAAAGAGCUUUAAAAACCGUAAUGUAUAAUACAUCCAAUUCUGAGCACACCAAUUUAAUUGUAAUGAAUUGAAAAUUAAGGAGGCAAAAAUCUGUAGUUCUCUGUCUGCUUAUUCAUUGCACAACACAAACACACAUAACCCUGCUUUCCAUGGUACUUACGGCUUUAAUUUGUUGGUUCUUCAGGGGAGGGACUUUGUCAUUUAGUGCAUUUUCCACUGCAAAGGACCAUGUAUUCUUACAACCUCAUAUGGUAAUAGUACUAAUGGUAAUGUAAUAAAAUUCACAAUUGGUCUUCAGCUCUGUGUUAAGAUUCUCUCAGCCAUACCUUUCACAGGGCAACUCUUUACACCUUCCAGAAGAUGUCCUGAUGGGGUUAUAAAUGACACUGAUUACAGUGCCUCCUGCACACUGAGCAGCCUGCAUUAUCCUCAAUCAGCCCAGGCUCUCCGCUGACCCCCAGACCCUUUCAGAGUAUCAAGUUUGGUGGGGCUCAUAGGAAUGGCUAGUCAACCAAACAAAGGGGGGCACAAUUUCAGAUCAGAAUGGAUGAUCUCACAACCUCGGCGAAAAAGUCAGCAGUAUCUGGGGGAUACACGUCAACUGCAGUGGAGUUUAUUAGUAAAUACUGAUUACAUAGAGCAGCCAGUUGGAUAGAAGCUUCUUCCAGCCCACCCGGGAGGAUAUAUUUAAUACUCAGUAUAUAUGAAACUAUGAGAAACUAAGCUAGCCUCAUGCAGCUUAACUUGGCCAAAUAAUAACUAUGCAAAUCACUUUAAAAUUCGUUCUUCUUCUGGCUUGCAGUUUCAGACAUACUACACGCACAAUAAUUGAAUAAGAAUGAAACAAAACUUUAAAAGCUAAAGAACCAUGAAAUAGUUAUUGGGUCUUACCUGCUUGGGAAAUUAUGGCAAGAUCAAAUCUUUUAUUAGUCGCUGGCUGCUUCCCUGUGGCAGAAGAACUAAGAAGAAUUACAGGUCAUGGGACGGGGUGGGAUUUCAGAACUUCCACAGACUUCCUCGAAAAGUUAGUGUUCUGCCUGGAGGCGGUUCAUUUCCCACCUCGGGCUAAUCACCUGGCUAAUAACAGGUCCCCCUUUUUGAUAGGAGGAAAAAUACCUGCCUGCUUCCGAAUUCGGAAUUUUUGCGAGCUCCCCCGAGAACUCGAGGUGAGAAAGAGCACAGUGAGGACGCGGCUCAGCAUCCCGGCCGCGCGGGCUACGGGGGUGGCGGGUGGUCCGCGCCCGCGGCGGCCUCCCGGGAACCUCGAGCGCAGGGAGGUGGCCUCCGAGAGCCCGGCGGAGCAGAGGGCUCAGCUGGCCCCAGACACGCAGUUGGCAUUCGUGGUCAGCUGCCUCUCGCCCAGGGUCUUGCCAGGGGCCUAACCUUCCUGCCAGGGCGCCGCGCGGGCGGGGCGGAGGCCCGGGGCGGGAGGGGCGGCCUAACUGGAAGCUCAAAGUUUACCAAGGUUUACUGGGAUUUCUUUGUGCCCCGCCGGACGGGCGAGGGGUGAGGAGAGUCGGGGGUCCAUCAGAGGGGGCUGUGGGAAGAAGUUGCCUG